CCGAACUGUCAACACGAGUUGUCGCUGGCCCUCAAAUGGGGGCAUGUGCACACUCUGUUUACAAAUCCACUCACACCUGUGCACCCUCAGUAGUUCUAUGGUGUGGAGGACCCUGUCCUCCAGCUGUGGUUCUACAUCUUUACACACACACACGGUUAUAAAGUCUAUGGGAUGUGUUUAGCGUUUAACGCAAUAUAAUA
rnacentral:misc_RNA from 1 species